GUGAAAUGUUUAGGACCACU
rnacentral:ncRNA from 2 species